GCGUAAGCGCGCGCAGGUGGUUUCUUAAGUCUGAUGUGAAAGCCCACGCCCCUACCGUGGAGGGUCAUUGGAAACUGGGAGACUUGAGUGCCCCUGAGGAAAGUGGAAUUCCAUGUGUAGCGGUGAAAUGCGUAGAGAUGUGGAGGAACACCAGUGGCGAAGGCGGCUCUCUGGUCUGUACCUGACGCUGAGGCGCGAAAGCGUGGGGGGCGAACAGGAUUAGAUACCCUGGUAGUCCACCCCGUAAACGAUGAGUGCUAAUGGUUAGAGGGUUCCCC
rnacentral:rRNA from 1 species